rnacentral:lncRNA from 1 species
ACGGCGGAGGUUAGGGAUUGCAGAACACUGGGUAUAUUUCUCCUGCAAUGUGCAGGAGUGGGAGGCAUAUGACCCAUACCGUGGACGGUGGAUGACACUCCCAAGGAUGCCACCUAACGAGUGUUUCAUGUGCUCAGAUAAGGAGUCGCUAGCUGUGGGCACUGAACUUCUGGUGUUUGGCAAGGAGAUUCUUUCACAUAUUGUUCUUAGCUAUAGCAUUCUGACCAACUCAUGGUCAAGAGGUGUUGAAAUGAAUGCCCCUAGAUGUUUGUUUGGAUCGGCUAGUUUUGGAGAGAAGGCAAUUAUAGCUGGUGGUAUG